CCGCGGUUAUACGAAAGACCCUAGUUGAUGGCCACGGCGUAAAGGGUGGUUAAGGUACAUAAUAAAUAAAGCUAAAUAGCCUCUAAGCCGUCGAACGCAUCCUGAGACCUCGAAGCUCAAAAACGAAAGUAGCUUUAAAAUAUCACACCUGACCCCACGAAAGCUAAG
rnacentral:rRNA from 1 species